rnacentral:lncRNA from 1 species
CCCACCCCACUCCUCUUCAACUCUCUGUUUUCUGUCAACCCCCACCCAACUCCGACCACCUCAACCCCCAUUGCUGCAACUCCGACCACCUCAACCCCCAUCCCCACCCACUUCUCUCUCUAUACUCUCUCUCCUCAUCCAUGGCUACCACGGUGACCUUCUCUGGCAUCCAUGGCUAUCACUGCGACCUUCUCCGGCGUCCGCAUCUCAUCCAUCUGCACCAUUAGAUCAUCAUCAGAAUCAUUCGCUCAACCGUCUGUUUCCGUCAAUUCCUUCACUAACCUAGACAAAUUGUUGUUCGCUCGCUGAAAUUAAAGAGUAGAAGUAGUGAGGUUCUUCUGCGCAAUCGCAUCUCUGAUAGGUUCUUUGGUGUGAUGCUUCAUCCAAUGGAAGAAUCUGAACCAGCAACUUCAGAUUUAGCCGCCGGCGAAAGGGUACAUGUAGGGGUCAUUGCCAGAAAAAACAUGAAAGAUGGUUAAGAGAGAAAGGGGUGGCGGUAGUCAGUUGGUUCUAGCGGCGGUGGUCGGAUUGCCGGAAAAAAAAACGUGAAGGAAGGUUGAGAGAGAAAGGAAAGAGUGGUUGUUGCAGAUAUGGUGGUUGUGGGUGGUUGGAUUAUGGUUUUAGUGGCAGUGACCGGUUAGUGGUGGUGGUGGAGAAGAUGGGAUGAUGGAGUUGCAGGGGAAGAAGAUGGGAUGAUAGGAUGAUAAAUCUAUUUAAUAGGUAAAUUAUUUUGUUUUUUAGUAAGGGUAUUUUUGUCAUUUCAUACUCUCU